GAUGUCACCGCCGCCAUUUUGGACGAGGAGAGCAAAAAAGAAUACUAUUUUGUUUCAGGAGUCCUCGAAAACUACCCGGUAUCCACUUUUAAUCAGAAAUCCACAUCACAUCAAGCUUUUUUCAGCCUUUUCUGGACCAUAAAAUGACUGAUUAAGGAUAAUCAAGCACAGCAAUAAUGUAGACCUAAGCACUUGGAGAGGAUGUUACAUCAGAAAUCCACCUCACAUCAAGCUUUUUCCGCCUCUUCCGGACCAUAAAAUGACUGAUUAAGGAUAAUCAAGCACAGCAAUAAUGUAGGCCAAUGCACUUGGAGAGGAUGUUACAUCAGAAAUCCACCUCACAUCAAGCUUUUUUCAGCCUUUUCCGGACCAUAAAAUGACUGAUUAAGGAUAAUCAAGCACAGCAAUAAUGUAGACCUAAGCACUUGGAGAGGAUGUUACAUCAGAUGCACAGUCUGACAUGCCUCUGCUUUUAAUGCGCCCGUAUCACAGACGUACUGGCUUUAAAGCAGCUGUUUCUGUGCGCACUCACUAAAUGGCCUGGUGUUGGAGAUCGGGAAUCUUUGAGUCCUGCAGAGCCGGGAACAUCCAAAAGAGGCCAUUUCAUCUGCAGGAUUGAUUAAGAUGAUGAGGCGUCAGGAGAGAUUUCAACAGCCACAAUCACGGCCCGAGGGUAGAUCAACUGGUGGCCAGAAAAUGUAUUCACAGGAUGUUGUUCCUGCAUCUGCCUCGCUUUGAAGUUGCCCACUCCACAUGAGCCUGUCAUACGUGACCGUAGGUUCAUUAUCCUCAUGCACUUUUAAUGCCUGAGAAAAGGCUGCUACUACUACGUGUUCUACGAAGUCUAUUUUCUACCGUGUUGUCAUGCUUUAGAGAGAAACAGAAAAGGUGGGGGAUGAGAUGAUGCGAGUCGAUCCACUCCUCCGAGGAUUCAAGGUCAUCCUUUUAUGUUUCACCAACCAUCGGCCAGUCACGUUCCAAUCAAAGUGGUGCUUAAUUCAGCAGUAAAUUCCAUCUCCUCAUCAUGUUUUCACCUCCGCCCAACCAGAGGAGGUCCCUUUCUGAUCUGCUGCUGCGUGUCCAACGUAUCUUGCCGGGUCAAAGCCACCGCAUGGGUAGGGGUCUCUCAUUAUGCUUGUUUAAGGGCGUACUGUGCGGAAUUUAGGCGCUUGCCUGGCCCUUGUCGACCUGUAGCUCAAACUUAGCAUUUGCACUUUGGCCCAUUGACAUGUCCCAUCCCUUCUAUACUACUGUGGGGAUGGGUACCUUUGCCAUUCAGUACCAAUUCCCGGUACCUAUACCGGUACU